CUAAAAUCUCCAUUUAUUACUUCUCAAAAGUCAAUUCCAAAAUCGUAAAUCCAAUAAAUGGCAAUCCAAAUAAUAUAAUAAAUCUUGAAGAUAUCGAUAAAAUUAUAAAAACCGCAAGUCUAAAAAUGAAAGAAAUAAAACUCCCAAAGCACCAAUCCGAUAGCAAUCACUCCUGCUCGUUAGUCUCACCUGAAAGGGGGAAAGAAGAAGGGGUGAGUAACAAGGGAGUUACUCCGUGAGGUAUGAGAUGCUAAACCACAAACCACUGAUUCAGUACAUAGCACUACGACUUUGUAAGCCUAGCUCUAGCAUGAAACAAACACGGUGUCUAAUACACCGCAUAAAACAUCAAAUGCGCUGAUAGUGCAUAACUAGAUCACACACCCGGCAUUCUCCUUAUACGGAUAUAAAUAUAUAACUCUAUGCGACGCUAGUACAAGAGUCCAUCCUUGUACCCCGCAAUCACCUAUGCGCCGCUAGUACAAACAUCUUUGUACCCCGCAAUCUCCAUACAAUGCGCCGCUAGCAUAGACGUCCAUAUGCCCCGCAAUCUCCAUACAAUGCGCCGCUAACACAAACGUCUUUGUGUCCCGCAAUCUCGACACAAUGCAUCGUUAGCACAACAUCUUUGUGCCCCGUAAUCUCAUAACAGACUUAUGUAUACAUAUAUAAAUAACAGUCUUUAAUUCAUUCAAUUCAGUCAACCGUUGAAUCCUCUAUUAUCCUAUUUCCGGUUUAACAAUCAAUAGUAAUAAUAAACAAACAAGACUCUCAAACAGACUCAAUUCACAGACACAGAUCAUGUUUCGAAACUAAGCUUUCAAUAAUAGUAGUACAAAACUAGCUUGUGAUUUAAUGGGAUAACCCUCACCUUAACCAUAACGGAAAACCAGAAACGGAUCCGACAAUAAACAAGAUGACUUGAUCAACAAGAAAGCUAAGGUUUCACCAUAGAUCUCAAUCUCGAUCUCGUCAACGACACACCAGAGCGGAAAAGAAUAGAAGCAAAACAAUAAGACAUGAUUAAAAUAUAUUUAAUUUAGGAUUUAAGAAACUUGCAACACAAGAAAUUAAUAUAGUUUCUUUUAACCUUCACGGCUUGGAAUCAUAGUGGCAGAUCCCAGCCCCAAAAGUGCAUGGUCCUCUCCGAUGACUCACAGUUGAUGAUAACAGCUGGUCGGAUUGAAACGGUGGCCCCGGUCGUGGUGAUCCGUGCCGAUGGUGUCAAGAUGCGAUGACUCCUGCUCGUACGUCUUCCUCAAUGCACUAACGUAUCAGCAACCAUAGAAGAAAGAUAACUUGAGGGAGGAGAUGAAGGAGGAGCACGUGUGUGGAGGUGGAGAGGAAGAGAGAUAAUCAAAGGAGAUGAUAGCAAUGACGGCUCCACUCUCGACAAAUCUCUACUAAUAAAAGGGACCUUUCGAGACUCCUUAGAGCGUCCACAUCAG
rnacentral:lncRNA from 1 species